CCUAGACAUUAUAUUUUGGAAAAGUAUUUCAAUAUUCAUCUAAAACAGAUGAGGGCCUUCUGCUCUGUGAUGAACAGUCCCUUUCCACAAUUUUGGACAGAAAGCUGGGUCUUGAGUCUGCACCUGCGUAUCCCUGGAGCUUCUCAGAGUCCUGUGGACAAUGCCUGAGGAGACAAACCAUGCAGGAAACAUCU